rnacentral:ncRNA from 1 species
GGAAGGUGGGGACGACGUCAAGUCAUCAUGGCCCUUACGAGUAGGGCUACACACGUGCUACAAUGGUCGGUACAAAGGGUUGCCAACUCGCGAGAGUGAGCCAAUCCCGAAAAGCCGAUCUCAGUCCGGAUCGGAGUCUGCAACUCGACUCCGUGAAGUCGGAAUCGCUAGUAAUCGUAGAUCAGAAUGCUACGGUGAAUACGUUCCCGGGCCUUGUACACACCGCCCGUCACACCAUGGGAGUGGACUGCACCAGAAGUGGUUAGCCUAACGCAAGAGGGCGAUCACCACGGUGUGGUUCAUGACUGGGGUGAAGUCGUAACAAGGUAGCCGUAGGGGAACCUGCGGCUGGAUCACCUCCUUA